GCCGCCGCGCCACUAAGGCCGCACCACCAGUCUGCCUGAUUGUGACUUAGGUGUCGUGUGUCCCACCGCCGCUGCCGCUGAGACCACCAACGUUGCAUUAGGUGUGUAUUGGAGUGUAUGUGGGUGUUGUCUUCUCGUGCAUGGAGUGUUUCUGUCUUGAGUGCUGUGAUGGGAAAGCCUCCAUUCACACACAGCACUUCCAGACAGAACAGUAACCAACACCAUUACCUCCAGCACCACCACCACCACCACCACCACUGCCAUCUGACUGCUCUCGGAAACAGAACACAAUACAUAAAAGAGAUCAAUCAACACGUGAAGGUUACUUGUUCCUGACCAGCCACACGUAAUUCAAACCUCUACGAUGUAACACUCCAGACAUUGCUUAUUCUACUCAAGUCACUGCGUCGAGGCACCGAGGCUUCACACGCUACUUGUAACCAUCACUUUUUCAUGGAGAGGAGAAGCCACGUGACGAUGAUUAAAACAGCAGUAGGACGAGUCAGACACUGUUCACAUCUUGAGGCGUCGCUGGCAGAGUCACAAGAGGGACAGUAAACAUGUAGCGUGAAUGUGAUGUAGUAGUGUGAGGUCCUGUUUACCCUGCCCAGUCUCUGCCUCUACCACUACCACUACCGUUCAUCAGUCAGCAAGCGAUCAGUUCAUAUUAACUUAGAAUCUGUCACAUAUAUGAGGUUCUGCUAACCCUGCCCCGUCUGUCUCUACCACUUUCACUACCAUCCGCCAGAUACUAACAGAGUAUGAACAGUAGCUUAGAAUCUGUUGAAAAUAUGAGAGGAACAAUAAACAUGACCUGGUGCAAUAAUUUAAGAUCUUUGUGGUUAACCUGGCCAAUCUCUGCUACUUCGGUCCAUUAGUUUGUAUUGCAGCACAAAUCAUAGCAUACACUCUGUUUACACACGUGAUAGGAACAGUGAACAGAGUCUGGUGCUGUAGAUUGACGUCUUCUACAUCAUUCUUUUCAUCAUCUAUUAUUGCAGUCCAUCAGUCUUUUUUGUUUAAUCUUUUUUGUUAUUUUUGGCAUGUUGUUCUGUCCUACAUAAAAAAAUAAAUGUGUAGUAACGUUG